rnacentral:rRNA from 1 species
CAAUAGCGUAUAUUAAAGUUGUUGCAGUUAAAAAGCUCGUAGUUGAACCUUGGGCAAGGCGCAUCAGGUCGACCGCAAGGUCGGACUUGGUCGCCGCGCCUCUGUUGGGGGACUCGCCGUUCUGCGGCGAGGUAACCCGCGUUACUGUGAAGAAAUUAGAGUGUUUAAAGCAGGCAAUCGCUUGAAUACAUCAGCAUGGAAUAACAAGAUAAGACAUUAGUCUUCUUGUUGGUUUGGAGAUCAGUGUAAUGAUUAAUAGGGCCAGUUGGGGGCAUUAGUAUUCAGUAGUCAGAGGUGAAAUUCUUGGAUUUACUGAAGACUAACUAGUGCGAAAGCAUUUGCCAAGGAUGUUUUCAUUAA